rnacentral:rRNA from 1 species
CUGGCCGUAAACGAUGGAUACUAGGUGUGGGAGGUAUCGACCCCUUCCGUGCCGGAGUUAACGCAAUAAGUAUCCCGCCUGGGGAGUACGGCCGCAAGGCUGAAACUCAAAGGAAUUGACGGGGACCCGCACAAGCGGUGGAGUAUGUGGUUUAAUUCGACGCAACGCGAAGAACCUUACCAGGGCUUGACAUUGAGUGAAAGACUAAGAGAUUAGUUCCUCAUCUUCGGAUGACACAAAAACAGGUGG